CUUCUCCCCCCCCGGGCCCCGCCUCUUUGGGCCUCCUGGACCCCGCCCCUGGACCCUUCUGGCCCCCCCCGGGACCCCGCCUGUGGGACCCCUCUGGCCCCCCAGGGACUCCGCCCCUCCCCCAGCCAAGCAGGCCCGCCCUGGCCCCACCCCGGACCCUGCCCACUGGACCCCUCUGCUCCCCCCCGGGACCCCUCCUGUGGGACCCCUCUGGCCCCCCAGGGUCUCCGCCCUUCCCCCCCCUCCCCGGGCCCUGCCUCUUUGGGUCUCCCGGACCCCACCCCCUGGACUCUUCUGCCCCUCCCGGGACCCCGUCCUCCCCCCCCCGGCCCUGCUUUCAUCCUGUCUCUCCGCAGGGCGCAGCCCCCGAGGGAAGGAAAAGCGACUGUGUCCCUGCUCCCCCGAGAGGUGGCAGAAGGUCCUUCCCAUCGGAGUUUUCAGUACGGCCGUGGUAUUUCAUAAACACCUUUUCCUAGAGGAUGAGGCACCAUCCGCUUUUUGUUUCCUCAUUUAAUUGCUUCAGACGAUUGCUGACUGGGGACACAGAAGCAUGCAGUUGUGUUCUGCCUUGAGAAAUCUAGUAUUUACCAUGACUUAACUGCUCUCCUUUCAUUCUUCUUCUUGGAGAGCACAUGGUAAGCACGAGACCAUCUCCCGAUCCAUGAAGUCAACAGAAGUUAUUCUAAGCAGAAUAGGUAACAGGCAAAUCUGAACUACAAGGCUAGACUACCAUGGAGGAGGUUCUUUUGUCAAGAUAAGUCUAGAGGGCAGAGCAACAGUGGUGCUGCCCCCAGAAGGUGUUGUACAUCAGUUCUUUUGCACUGUGGUUUUGGAUUAUAAUAUGGCUGACUGGUUGAGUAAGGCUGAAGAAGAAAUGGAGGAUGAGUUUGAGCUUGUUGUGCAUCAGCUAUAAGUGAUACAUUCUGCAUUAGAUUUCUCUGUCUUCUAGCAUUAUAUCUAUUUAUGACUGUCAUGGAAUACUGCCUUCCAGCACACCCAUUCAUGACCCUGCAGAGCCCUGCUCGAAGUGAGCGGCAGGUCAGCCCUGCAGGGAUGGAGGCUCUGCAUGCUCUGACUGCCUGGCUUGAUCUUCAUCCACCUGGGGACGGGAGAGGGUCCAGGAGACCCGGCUCUGGCAAAGGAGAUGACCUUGGGAGCCCAGCCACCCUCUUCAUUAUUGCCUGCUGAACAGCUGCACAGAAUUAGAAAGUGGCCACGAAGAACUAUGGAGGACUUUUGUGUGAGGUUACGAUGUAUUCCACGGCCGAACAACAGGAAUUGAAGAAGUGGCAGGACAGGGAGAAGAGGGACCGAAAGGAGAAUGCCGCGCACCAGAGUGAAGCCACGGAACAGCUCUUAAACGUUAUGGAGCACCAAACGGACACGCUCUAGCCUAUACUACCACUGCAAACCGAGCGGGUCCGCGCCCACCUGCCCUUGCAGCUGCUGUCGCAAAACUCUUUCCCACGUGCCCCCCCAGACACUCUUAUCAACCUUCUGGCUGCAGUCUGUACCCGCAGCAUUCCACUCCUCCCCCUGACAGUCCGGCACUGCGGACUCCCAGUACCCAUUGCACUCAACACCCAUCCCUCUGCAGUUUAGCCCUGUUGAAGUACAGUACCCGCUGCACUGUACUGCAAAAGGAGAAGGCUGGAUACACCUGGACAUACACAAAUCUUUAACUGUCCUGGGACCCCACCUCCUCUUGGGACCUUCCCUUACCCUCCCCCUCAGUGCUGACGUGUUUUUUUGUUUGUCUCGCUUCCGGUUGUUGUUUUUUAAUAAAAGAAUUGUGUUGGUUUGAAAGAAA